UGGGGAAUAUUGCGCAAUGGGGGAAACCCUGACGCAGCGACGCCGCGUGCGGGAUGAAGGCCUUCGGGUUGUAAACCGCUUUUGAUUGGGAGCAAGCUUUCGGGUGAGUGUACCUUUCGAAUAAGCGCCGGCUAACUACGUGCCAGCAGCCGCGGUAAUACGUAGAGCGCAAGCGUUAUCCGGAAUUAUUGGGCGUAAAGAGCUUGUAGGCGGUUCGUCGCGUCUGGUGUGAAAGCCCAUCGCUUAACGGUGGGUUUGCGCCGGGUACGGGCGGGCUAGAGUGCAGUAGGGGAGACUGGAAUUCCCGGUGUAACGGUGGAAUGUGUAGAUAUCGGGAAGAACACCAAUGGCGAAGGCAGGUCUCUGGGCUGUUACUGACGCUGAGAAGCGAAAGCGUGGGGAGCGAACAGG
rnacentral:rRNA from 1 species